rnacentral:tRNA from 1 species
AUUUCCAUAGUAUAAAAAAUACAUUAGCCUUUCAAGCUAAAAACGUAACAUUUACCUUACUGGAAAUU